AAAUGGGACAGAAACAGGAACCUGCAGCCUGACGUUUUCUGCAUUCUGGUGCUUGGAAAGAGAAAGAGGAGAGGGGAAAGAAGAUGGAACCUAUAAACAC